UACAGAGGGUGCGAGCGUUAAUCGGAAUUACUGGGCGUAAAGCGUGCGUAGACGGUUAUUUAAGUCGGGUGUGAAAGCCCCGGGCUCAACCUGGGAAUUGCAUUCGAGACUGAAUAGCUAGGGUACGGUAGAGGGAAGUGGAAUUUCCGGUGCAGCGGUGAAAUGCGUAGAUAUCGGAAGGAACAUCAGUCGGCGAAAGCGACUUCCUGGACCAGUACCGACGUUCAGGCACGAAAGCGUGGGGAGCAAACAGG
rnacentral:rRNA from 1 species